rnacentral:RNase_P_RNA from 1 species
GCUACAAACUGUUCUAUCGCUGCCAAAUUUUUGGGAGAGGAAAGUCCGGGCAAUACAGAGCACCACACCACCUAACGGGUGGGAGCAAUAGCCGCAAGACUGUUGUUACAGCAAGUGCCACAGAAAAUAACCGCUAUCUAGCAAUAGAUACGCAUGGGUGAAAACGAACAAAACGUUCGCAUUAGUGCGGCAACGCACUAAGUGGGGUAAACCUUGUGGAUUGAAAGACCAAAUACAUCGGCGCGUUGUACCGCAAGGCACAACUGAGGGCUGCUCGUCCAAAUGUCGAGGGGUAGGUCGUUAGAGGUAAUUGGCAACAAGUAUCCUAGAUAAAUGAUAGAAACGACUGUAAACAGUACGUACAAAACCCGGCUUAUAGGUUUGUAGCCCUU